rnacentral:rRNA from 1 species
CAAGACGAACGCUGGCGGCGCGCCUAACACAUGCAAGUCGAACGAGCGAGAGAGAGCUUGCUUUCUCGAGCGAGUGGCGAACGGGUGAGUAACGCGUGAGGAACCUGCCUCAAAGAGGGGGACAACAGUUGGAAACGACUGCUAAUACCGCAUAAGCCCACGGCUCGGCAUCGAGCAGGGGGAAAAGGAGAAAUCCGCUUUGAGAUGGCCUCGCGUCCGAUUAGCUAGUUGGUAAGGUAAUGGCCCACCAAGGCGACGAUCGGUAGCCGGACUGAGAGGUUGAACGGCCGCAUUGGACUAAGACACGGCCCAGACUCCUACGGGAGGCAGCAGUGGGGAAUAUUGCACAAUGGGGGAAACCCUGAUGCAGCGACGCCGCGUGGAGGAAGAAGGUCUUCGGAUUGUAAACUCCUGUUGUUGGGGAAGAUAAUGACGGUACCCAACAAGGAAGUGACGGCUAACUACGUGCCAGCAGCCGCGGUAAAACGUAGGUCACAAGCGUUGUCCGGAAUUACUGGGUGUAAAGGGAGCGCAGGCGGGAAGACAAGUUGGAAGUGAAAUCUAUGGGCUCAACCCAUAAACUGCUUUCAAAACUGUUUUUCUUGAGUAGUGCAGAGGUAGGCGGAAUUCCCGGUGUAGCGGUGGAAUGCGUAGAUAUCGGGAGGAACACCAGUGGCGAAGGCGGCCUACAGGGCACCAACUGGCGCUGAGGCUCGAAAGUGUGGGUAGCAAACAGGAUUAGAUACCCUGGUAGUCCACACCGUAAACGAUGAUUACUAGGUGUUGGAGGAUUGACCCCUUCAGUGCCGCAGUUAACACAAUAAGUAAUCCACCUGGGGAGUACGACCGCAAGGUUGCAACUCAAA